UGCAAAGCAAUGAAAGGAAAUAAGUAGUGGAUGAUCUCCCUGUUCAAGAGAGCUGAUGGUGGUGCAAAUCAGUACAAAGAUCAACAUGAAUUACAAUCCUGGAGCUUCUUUUUCGUAGCAAAGAGUCGUCUUUGUGAAGGGAAAGACGGUCAUACGAUCGUUAACAAAAUCGAGAGGUGAACAAGACUGUUCACAACUAGGGUGGUACCGCGAAAUCAAUUCGUCCCUACU
rfam:Bacillus sp. LF1 genome assembly, contig: CONTIG000006